UACAGAGGUCUCAAGCGUUGUUCGGAUUCAUUGGGCGUAAAGGGUGCGUAGGCGGCGCGGUAAGUCGGGUGUGAAAUCUCGGAGCUUAACUCCGAAACUGCAUUCGAUACUGCCGUGCUUGAGGACUGGAGAGGAGACUGGAAUUUACGGUGUAGCGGUGAAAUGCGCAGAUAUCGUAAGGAAGACCAGUGGCGAAGGCGGGUCUCUGGACAGUUCCUGACGCUGAGGCACGAAGGCCAGGGGAGCAAACGGG
rnacentral:rRNA from 1 species